UUUUAAGGUUCUAUAUACAAUAGAUUAAAAGGGAAAGAGGUGUGAUUCCUCUACAGCCCCCGUUACUGUAAUGUGGACGAAACUCAUUAAGCCACUGUGGUAUUACCAUGGGAAGGUGAGGAGUAGAAUGAAGCUAAGUCAGGAGACCUGCCUAAAAUCAU
rnacentral:ncRNA from 1 species